UACGUAGGCAGCGAGCGUUGUUCGGAAUUACUGGGCGUAAAGAGUGUGUAGGCGGUUUGAAAAGUCUGAUAUUAAAGACUGGGGCUUAACUCCAGGAGUGUAUCGGAAACUUUCAGACUAGAGGACAAUAGAGGAAGUCGGAAUUCUCAGUGUAGCGGUGAAAUGCGUAGAUAUUGGGAAGAACACCAGUGGCGAAAGCGGACUUCUGGGUUGUUACUGACGCUGAGGUACGAAAGCGUGGGGAGCAAACGGG
rnacentral:rRNA from 1 species